GACGAACGCUGGCGGCGUGCUUAACACAUGCAAGUCGAACGGAAAGGCCCUGCUUUUGUGGGGUGCUCGAGUGGCGAACGGGUGAGUAACACGUGAGUAACCUGCCCUUGACUUUGGGAUAACUUCAGGAAACUGGGGCUAAUACCGGAUAGGAGCUCCUGCUGCAUGGUGGGGGUUGGAAAGUUUCGGCGGUUGGGGAUGGACUCGCGGCUUAUCAGCUUGUUGGUGGGGUAGUGGCUUACCAAGGCUUUGACGGGUAGCCGGCCUGAGAGGGUGACCGGCCACAUUGGGACUGAGAUACGGCCCAGACUCCUACGGGAGGCAGCAGUGGGGAAUAUUGCACAAUGGGCGGAAGCCUGAUGCAGCAACGCCGCGUGCGGGAUGACGGCCUUCGGGUUGUAAACCGCUUUCGCCUGUGACGAAGCGUGAGUGACGGUAAUGGGUAAAGAAGCACCGGCUAACUACGUGCCAGCAGCCGCGGUGAUACGUAGGGUGCGAGCGUUGUCCGGAUUUAUUGGGCGUAAAGGGCUCGUAGGUGGUUGAUCGCGUCGGAAGUGUAAUCUUGGGGCUUAACCCUGAGCGUGCUUUCGAUACGGGUUGACUUGAGGAAGGUAGGGGAGAAUGGAAUUCCUGGUGGAGCGGUGGAAUGCGCAGAUAUCAGGAGGAACACCAGUGGCGAAGGCGGUUCUCUGGGCCUUUCCUGACGCUGAGGGGCGAAAGCGUGGGGAGCGAACAGGCUUAGAUACCCUGGUAGUCCGCGCUGUAAACGGUGGGUACUAGGUGUGGGGUCCAUUCCACGGGUUCCGUGCCGUAGCUAACGCUUUAAGUACCCCGCCUGGGGAGUACGGCCGCAAGGCUAAAACUCAAAGGAAUUGACGGGGCCCCGCACAAGCGGCGGCGCAUGCGGAUUAAUUCGAUGCAACGCGUAGAACCUUACCUGGGUUUGACAUGGAUCGGGAGUGCUCAGAGAUGGGUGUGCCUCUUUUGGGGUCGGUUCACAGGUGGUGCAUGGCUGUCGUCAGCUCGUGUCGUGAGAUGUUGGGUUAAGUCCCGCAACGAGCGCAACCCUUGUUCACUGUUGCCAGCACGUUAUGGUGGGGACUCAGUGGAGACCGCCGGGGUCAACUCGGAGGAAGGUGGGGAUGACGUCAAGUCAUCAUGCCCCUUAUGUCCAGGGCUUCACGCAUGCUACAAUGGCUGGUACAGAGAGUGGCGAGCCUGUGAGGGUGAGCGAAUCUCGGAAAGCCGGUCUCAGUUCGGAUUGGGGUCUGCAACUCGACCUCAUGAAGUCGGAGUCGCUAGUAAUCGCAGAUCAGCAACGCUGCGGUGAAUACGUUCCCGGG
rnacentral:rRNA from 1 species